UACGUAGGGUCCGAGCGUUGUCCGGAAUUACUGGGCGUAAAGAGCUCGUAGGUGGUUUGUUGCGUUGUUCGUGAAAACUCACAGCUUAACUGUGAGCGUGCGGGCGAUACGGGCAGACUGGAGUACUGCAGGGGAGACUGGAAUUCCUGGUGUAGCGGUGAAAUGCGCAGAUAUCAGGAGGAACACCGGUGGCGAAGGCGGGUCUCUGGGCCGAUAUUGACGCUGGAGGAGCGAAAGCGUGGGGAGCGAACAGG
rnacentral:rRNA from 1 species